GGCAGAGGGAGCAGCAGGCUCCAUGCAGGGAGCCUGAUGUGAGACUUGAUCCCGGGUCUCCAGGAUCCCACCUUGGGCCAAAGGCGGCACUAAACCGCUGAGCCACCGGGGCUGCCCAGGGGAGCCCCAUUUGAAGGGUGCAGUCCGCUGCAGAAGUUCUAAAUGCUUGCAGCUUGGGGAACUCCUGUCUGAAAUAAGCUCUGUUUUCUUCAAAAACAGAUUUUUAAUUUUCUCUCCCUCUCACGGUUUGGAGUUGGCUGACACUUUUAGGAGAAAGUAACACUCCAUAGCCUGGAUGAUACUGGAUGAGAUUGUAUUAGCUACCCCGAGUUCUUUUGAGAGAGAGAGAGAGCACAAGCAAGGAGCAGCAGGCAGAGGGAGAAGCAGACUCCUGGCUAAGCAGGGAGACUGAUGUGGGGCUCGAUCCAAGGGUCAUGACCUGAGCCUAAGGCAGACGCUUAACCAACUGAGCCACCCAGGCACCUCUUCUAUUAGUCUUCAUUUCUGCCUCCAUUUCUGUGUUUGCAUCUGGGAUCUUUUUCAUUCUGCCUGAAAAUUUCUAAGUUUUCUCUGCAUAAGGAUACAAAUUAUUUCUUUUUGCUUGUCUGGAAAUGUCUUUUUGGUACCUUUACUUUGAGGAUUAUUUUCUCUGAGUCUAGAGUUCUGCAUUUCUGUCAAUUGCUUGUUUUCCAGUCCUUUACAGGCUUUCUUCCCUUGUCUUCCAGCUCCUGUUGUUUGUGUUGCGAAGUCAUCUUUACCUAUUACUGUUUCUCAUUUGAAGUUAAUGUAUUUUUUUUUUCUGUUUUAAUUUUUUCUUGUUGCUCAUUUUGUUUGCAGUUGUUUGUCUAUGAUAUUCUUAGGUAGGAUUUUUCCUUUGUAUUUAUUCCUCCUUGAGUUUGCUUAAUCCUUGUUUGUUUGUUUUGGAAAAUUGUCACCCAUUUUUUUUUCUAUUUAAAUAAUUUUUCUGUCUUUUCAUUUUCUGGGACUUUAGUUACAUAAUAUAUUAGAACGUUAUGCCUUAUUCAUGUGGUAUACAUAAAUACAUGAAAUAUAUGUAGGUAUAUGGCCUAUUUAUUGAUUGAUCUAUCUUAUCUUACCCUCUUUCUAUAUUUUCCUUAUUUUUUAAUUUCCUUGCUUCAGCCUGUAUAUUUUCUGUUGAUGUAUCUUCCAUUUGACUGAUCUUUCCUUCUGCUGUGCCUAAUUUGCUCCUGAGCCCACCUGUUGAGUUCUUAAGUUCAGUUACUGAAUUUUUCAGUUUUAAUAUUUCUAUUUGAAUUGUUAUUGGUGAAAUUUUCUAUUUUGUUAUCCAUUUUAUAUUACAUAUUAAUUAUAGUUAAAACCAAGAUUUGGUUCAUGUGGCAAGCAGAACUGUGAGAUGGGCCCCAAAUUCUACCCCUCUCUGACCCAUGUACAUUGCAUGUAUAAUCCUCUCCCUCUUGAAUGUGUAAAUUUGGUGGGAUAUCACUCCCUGAUUAGGAAUAAUCAAGUUACACUGUAUAAUAAAUGUGAUGAGAUAAUCAUUUCUGUGAUAAGACUUCUUCAUAGCAGACUAAAGAGAGACUCUCCUGCUGGCUUUAAAGAAGUAAGCUGCCAGUUUGUGAGAUGAUCACAUGGCAAGGACCUGAACGGGGCUCUAGAGCUGAGCAGCCAAGAAAAUGGAGCCUUCAAUUCUUCCAAAAAUCUGAGCUUGGAAGAGGAUCCUAAACACCAGAUAAGGAUGCAGCCUCACUGUCUUCAACCUUGUGAGACUCUCAGCAGAGAACCCAGUAAUGCUAUGCAUGGAUCAGACCUUUAGAAACUGUGAGAUAAUAAAUGAAUGUUGUUUGAACUCUC